AAAGUCAACUAAGGCAGUUGUUUGAUUAAUUCAAUAGACAUUUGUCUAUUUAACAUGACCGUAUUGAGUUUAGGUUUUUAAAUCAUUAUCAGUUGUUGGUUUAACAUAAAAUAACAAAAAGUUUAAUGAACUAGAUUUGCAUUAUUCAGUUCAAUUAAAUGUAAUUAUUUUAAAUCAACAACUCUAAAACCGAUGCCUAGUGCGCAUGCUCAAACUUCCCAGAAGUGAAGAGGCGGGAACGCGGAGAAAGUUAUAUGUGUUCAGUGAACUGCCGUUUCCCUCUGCGGAUUCUUCCACAAUACAGUAACACCACAAAGAAAGCUGCCCCCUUUUCCUGAUUGUUUGUGCCUCCUCUUUAAUACAUGUGACUUGUAUGUGGCAGUGCAAGCGUCGUUCCAUCAGGGAGAGUAGUAGAUUGACAAGGAGUUUCUGCGAAUCACCACAAAGCCUCUGCUAUCCACUUUCUUUGCCGAGCUUGACCAAUACGCGCCACACUUAAUGGAAAUCUUUCUGAGCAAAGGAGGGACACCUGGAAAGAAAAUAAGAGGUCUCAUGCUUGCCAUCUCCAAGCAUGACAACAUCCAUACCAGACGAGCAUGCAUCUUGAAGUCCUUGUGCAUCUACCUAAACGAAGACUAUGAGAAGUUAAUAAAGGAGUACUUGGAUACGGACAGCGAGGCAAAAAGCUGCAUGGAGCAAACUGUGAUGGGGGUGUACGUCAUCCAGAAGGAGGGGUGCUGAACCUGAAGAUGACCCAGAGGACAUUGGUGUCGUGAUUGAGGGUGUGGAGGCUCUCACUGAUUUGGGUAACAUUGCACAAGCAUGUGCUCUGUUGUUUGGACUCAUAUACUGUUUGAACCUGAGCUACCCACCAGAACUUAAAUGCACCUUUGAAGUCCUCCAGAAGAUAAUUUUAAAUCUUGAUGGACAAAAGCUCUCUUCAAAGGCACAGUUUCUGAAAAACAAGCUUAUGGGGUGAGAGCACUUGAAAAUGACUGAUAGGUCUUGAAUGGUUCAUUGGUGCAAUGGUGAUUUCCAAUAUAUAAUGUUAACAUUUGAGUUUAUAUUUUUUUUCUUUCAUUUAAAAAAUAUAUUUUUUUAAGUUUUUGGAUUCUCUCUGUUGGGCAAUUCACCUUUUAUACAGCACUGCAGAUGAUUUUUGUUUGUCUUUAUAUAGAUGGCUCAAAAUGGAUCAGAAGUACUGUUCUGUUAAUUAUUUUUCAUUUAAUUUCAAGUUUGUAGUAUAGGUACUAAUUCACACAUACCAUAAUGCUGUCAUGUGUUGAAUGAAGAUAUCAUUGGAGUGCUUUAGUGCCCCCCUCUUUUUUUUCCCCCUUUGUAGAACAAAGUCAACAUUUUACAGAAACUGCAUUGAGGGGUUUUCCCCAAGAAAUGUUCAUUGUUGUUUUUAGCUGCACUGUUACUAUGUUUAUGUGUCAAGGGCCUGUAAAGUUUAAGACCACUGCCACCUGUUAAGUUCACUGUAUUAUUUUAAUGUGUCAAUUUUGCUUGCUAGUAUGUUUUAAAACACAGCAAAACUAUAUUGCUAGCUGUGGAGAACUGCAACCAAAAUUAAAAAAUAAAUACAGAAAUAUAAAAAUUGGUCAAACUAAUAAUUAUUACAAUGAGAUACACCAAACAAAUGUAGUUUUUCAUUUCAAGUAAUUAAUUGUAUUUGAAAAAAAUUGUCAUGUCAUCUAAUUUGAUGUUAAGCCUUCUGUUUCUAUUUUAGUUUUACUUCCUAAAUUUUUUCCAAAUUCACACAAUAGUAAUUCUAUUUUGUCAAAUGUUUUAACUUGCCAAGUGGGAGUGUAUUUUUAUCUUUUAGUUUAAUUUUUUAAAAUACAGUUAAUAUAUUGAGCAAAUUUUGCAUCUGUUUUUAGUUGUGGAAGCUUUGGUUCCAACAUAUUACCUAUAUAAGUAUUCUAACGUUUUACCUUUUGAAGUGGCAUAAUGCUUGCAGGUGUACAAAAUGGUAAGCUUUUAUAUUGUCCACUAAAUGCAGUUAAUAAAGUUAAUGUUAUCAUAAUCUGAUUGUGACUUUUUUGUAAAGUAGUGGGUUUCUAAAUGUGUAACAAAUGAAAACAAAUCUAAUUGAAAUAAUUCGAUUGAAAUGAGUGAAAUCAUCAGCCCCAUAUUGGUUUAUUAAGCAAGACUUGCAGUAAUUGCCUUGAUUAACAAAGUAGUUGUUCAAACAACAAGAUUUAAUUGUGUUUUCCAAAAGUUUUUAACCUGUGUAGAAUGAAUUAAAACACAUUUCACUCUAUAUACUUAAAUAAAUCACUUCAAACCAGUGCAAGUAUACCAUGUUGAUCCAACGUAAUCGGAUUACAUUAAACCACCAAAUGCCAAAUGUGUUGGUUUGACAUGAUCGAAAAUGGUUUAUUGUACUUGGUUGAAUUGUGUGCAAAUUGGGUGCCAUGAUUAAAUUGUGUUCAUCCAACAUCA